GUACUGUGCGAACGUUAUUCGGAAUCACUGGGCUUAAAGGGUGCGUAGGCGGCUGGAUAAGUAGGGUGUGAAAUCUCUCGGCUCAACCGAGAAACUGCGCUCUAAACUGUCCGGCUUGAGUGAGAUAGGGGUGUGCGGAACUUCCAGUGGAGCGGUGAAAUGUGUUGAUAUUGGAAGGAACGCCGGUGGCGAAAGCGGCACACUGGGUCUCAACUGACGCUGAGGCACGAAAGCCAGGGGGUAGCGAACGGGAUUAGAUACCCCGGUAGUCCUGGCCGCAAACGUUGAGCACUAGUUGGGAGGGGUUUUCGGCCUCUUCGAACGUAGCGAAAGCAUUAAGUGCUCCGCCUGGGGAGUAUGGUCGCAAGGCUG
rnacentral:rRNA from 1 species